rnacentral:sRNA from 1 species
GCCAGGUGCAGUGGUGCAUGCUUGUAUUCCCAGCAACUUAGGAGGCUGAGGCAGGAGAAUCACAAGUUCAAAGCCAGCCUCAGCCAAAGUGAGGUACUCAGCAACAAAGUGAGACCCUGUCUCUA